ACGCACGCUGGCGGCGCGCCUAACACAUGCAAGUCGAACGAGCGAGAGAGAGCUUGCUUUCUCGAGCGAGUGGCGAACGGGUGAGUAACGCGUGAGGAACCUGCCUCAAAGAGGGGGACAACAGUUGGAAACGACUGCUAAUACCGCAUAAGCCCACGGCUCGGCAUCGAGCAGGGGGAAAAGGAGCAAUCCGCUUUGAGAUGGCCUCGCGUCCGAUUAGCUAGUUGGUGAGGUAACGGCCCACCAAGGCGACGAUCGGUAGCCGGACUGAGAGGUUGAACGGCCACAUUGGGACUGAGACACGGCCCAGACUCCUACGGGAGGCAGCAGUGGGGAAUAUUGCACAAUGGGGGAAACCCUGAUGCAGCGACGCCGCGUGGAGGAAGAAGGUCUUCGGAUUGUAAACUCCUGUUGUUGGGGAAGAUAAUGACGGUACCCAACAAGGAAGUGACGGCUAACUACGUG
rnacentral:rRNA from 1 species